rnacentral:rRNA from 1 species
UACGUAGGUGGCAAGCGUUACUCGGAAUCACUAGGCGUAAAGCGCAGGUAGGCGGUUCGGUAAGUCUCUUGUGAAAGCUCCCGGCUCAACUGGGAGGAGUCAAGGGAAACUACCGGGCUAGAGUGUGGCAGAGGAAGCUGGAAUUCCCGGUGUAGCGGUGAAAUGCGUAGAGAUCGGGAGGAAUACCUAUGGCGAAAGCAGGCUUCUGGGCCGUCACUGACGCUGAGGAGCGAAAGCAUGGGGAGCGAACAGG